rnacentral:rRNA from 1 species
UACGUAGGUGGCAAGCGUUGUCCGGAUUUACUGGGCGUAAAGAGCGCGCAGGCGGUCGAUUAAGUCGAAUGUGAAAGCCCCCGGCUCAACUGGGGAGGGUCAUUCGAUACUGAUCGACUUGAAGGCAGGAGAGAGAAGUGGAAUUCCCGGUGUAGUGGUGAAAUGCGUAGAUAUCGGGAGGAACACCAGUGGCGAAGGCGACUUCUUGGCCUGUUCUUGACGCUGAGGCGCGAAGGCCAGGGGAGCAAACGGG